GCUGGGCUUGGUAGCACAUGCCUGUGAUCCCAGCGACUUAGGAGGCUGAGGCAGGAGGAUUAUGAGUUCAAAGCCAGCCCCGGUAAUGGUGGCUAAGCAAUUCAGUGAGACCCUGUCUCUA
rnacentral:sRNA from 1 species